UAGAGUUAGCUAGUAAGUAGGUUGGUGGGGUUGAAGAGGAAGCCCAGGGGAAGAGUUAGCCCUGGUAUUUUCUCCUGAGCAGAGAACUCUGACCUUCUCUGCUCACUACAGGAACCAUGGGCUGGAACCCAGAAGAGAGGAGACCCCUGACCCUUCCUAUCUCCUAUCAGGCAACAGGGAGGUGACAUGAACCCCCCUGAUGGAAGGAGCUGGGCUUUUGAAAGCCCUGAGAUGAGAGGGAGUAAGGACUACAGGGCCGAGAGUUGGGCUGAAGACCUGAAGGGCACUGGAAUAUAGUCUGCUUGGGACAUUGUUACCUGCCCUGCAGAAGGGAUGGGGACUGUAAAUGACUUGGCUGGAGGGCUCAGUCACAAGAAGAGGCAGACCACAGCAGGACUGGACUGGCUGUAGGCAAGGGUUGGUAAAUGAGGUGACCCUGCUAUGCCACACUUGGCCACAAAGGAAUGCCCCAGAGGUGAGUCAACUCUCUUGCAAGGAUGCCCUGCUUCAUUUGUUGCAGAUGUUGGAAGAUGACAUGAAUGAGGCAGGGGGCUGCAGGAAGAGAAAUGGGCUCAUGGUUAAGGAAUUGAAUGCAGCCCCUAGGAACUGGCUUCUAUCCCUACCUGUGCCACAGAGUUCCUGUGUGAUGCUGGGCAGCUGUAGCUUGGACUACUUUUCCCAGCAGGCUGUGCGGAGAGAGCAUGUCGGUAAGAAGCUGCCCUCUCCCUCCUCCCUCAGAUAAAUAAAGAAUUGUACAACUUUGCUGACACAUCAUGUGCAUUGAACUUUCAACAAGGGCAACCAUGCAAAAGGCAGAUCACUGAAAACCACCAGCAACUUACCUCCUCCAAAAUGAAACUCCAGAGAGAGACAUGCGAAAACUACAAGGCAGUUAGAUCCUGGAGUGGGGGGAAGGUUGGCAGGGCAAACAAUGCCUAAGGUUUUACAUCUUAAAUGCACAAGGAUAAGUAAUGAGGAGAUACUUUUGUGGAAGGGGAUAAAUCAAGAUUUUUGCUAGUCACUCCCCAUACCCCUACUAAGAAACUACUUUCUGAUCACACAACUAAAGAACACUCGUGUCUUGCAUAAUUUAGUUUACCACUAUAUAAAUACUCCUUUCCAGCUCUUACAGAGCCCACGGAUUGUGCGGUACUAUAUUACACUACUUUACCUGUCUACUGCAUUGACAAUUGUAUUGGCGUGUGUAGUUAAACAAAAGGUGUAUUUUUUUGUAAUGGGGUUCUUUCUAUGCAAUCUGUAUAACCUUGGUGAAAGGAGGUUUGCUUAAUUAAUUUGGAACCUGUUGGGUUGAUGGGGAUUAACACAAAUACAGAUGUAGGGGGAAGAUGAAUGUUGUUCUAGAAAAGGCUUAACAAAAAAAAUUGCAGGUUUGAAGUGGUCUUCCUUUAAACACUCUGCUCUCAAUUAUACCAUUGACUUCAAUGAAGUGAUGCCAGUAUAAAUGAAGGGAGAAUUUGCCCCAGGUUUCUAAAGGAUCCUGGUGAUGGACCUUUUCUCUACAACAAGAGAAUGAAGGUGGGUACUACAAAGAACUGAAGAAUCUGCUAGCCAGGCCUUUCCUCCUAAGGGAGUUGAUUCAAUUUACACCAUUGUGUUGAGGUGCGUGUGUGUUCAGAAGCUAGAUUUGAAUUUCUACAGCAAAAAUUCAGUGGCUGAACUUGUGUGUGUGUGUGUGUUGCAAUUGUCUUCAUAACAAAAGGUAAAAAUAGCAAAAGCAAGUCUAGUCUAUUGUCUGUUUUAUUUAAAAGGAAGGUUAGGAAGAUUGUCAUUCUCUAGGGUUGGAUUAGGGGUGAAAAUGGUCUGGUCUUACUGUAGUUGUCAUUUCUAUAUUUUAACUUUGAACCUAGGGUUUCUAGUCAUGAUUAUUUUACUUUAAAGAAACAUUAAGAUAAAACAUGUCAAAAAUAACUACUUGUGUUUGCUAAUAACCCUCUCAGUAGUUCCCACUGGAAUCAUUUUAAAUGUAGAAUUUCCUUUUCAACAUUUAUGCUUCUGGCUUUACACUUAGUCUCUCUUCCCUAUGCCAGCUAAAAUGUUUCACUUCUCUUUCUGCCGUUACCAUCAUUGCUUACAUCUAAGUUUAAGCACUGCUGAUGAAUGUUUAACUAUAUUUGUAAACUGGUUUUGUUGACAUGAAGAAUAAUCUGAGAACAUUUUUAUACACAUUGGUCAGGGAGGAUGUCACUUUAUAUGUCUGUACAGUGCCCAGCCCAUUUUGGGGAUUCUGGAAUAUAACUAAUAAAUAUUAAUGAUCAUGAGCUAG